rnacentral:rRNA from 1 species
UACGAAGGGUGCAAGCGUUACUCGGAAUUACUGGGCGUAAAGCGUGCGCAGGUGGUCUCUUAAGUUCGUUGUGAAAUCCCCGGGCUCAACCUGGGAAUGGCAGUGAAUACUGGGAGGCUGGAGUGCGGUAGAGGAGAGUGGAAUUCCCGGUGUAGCGGUGAAAUGUGUAGAGAUCGGGAGGAACACCAGUGGCGAAGGCGGCUCUCUGGACCAGCACUGACACUCAUGCACGAAAGCGUGGGGAGCAAACAGG